GUGAAUCAUCGAAUCUUUGAACGCAAAUUGCACUCUCCGGUUUUCCGGGAAAGUAUGCCUGUUUGAGGGUCUGUUUAAAAAAUUAUUGAGGCUGCUGCUGUGGUGGCCCUUCGGGAUUGGGUCCUCUUUCAACUUUUGGUUGUAAGCGACCCAAAAUUUUUUUUUCGAUUUUUACGAACCUUUCUAAGAAUUUCCUGUUCGUUUA
rnacentral:misc_RNA from 1 species